GUUUUCAGCAUCCUUCGUUUCAAAAUUAUCAUUAAAACAAGUGACUACCCAUGUGCUCUAAGGGCCAAAGGCCUACUGCUAGGAAAAUAUUUCUAUGAAGUCAUCUUAGCUCGCUUAUGGAGUCAAUUAACUCCAAUUCACUGACCUACAGAAAUGCAGUUUUCAACUUUUUUAAAUGAACGACUGCUCUAAAUCCCCAGUAUGAUAGCAUGGUCAUUUAUGCAGUUCAUGUUACCGUUGGUUCUAUUAUUCGUGGAUCGAAAAUGGAGUUGGCUUGGGGCGCUAUUGAGAAUGGUUGUCCUCAUUGCUUCGCUUUCCUUUUUUAAAUUUUGAUUGGUUAAGCCGUAUAAUGAGUAUGCUUUGGAAUCAGAUGUUAUUGGGGAUAUUGUUUUGAGAGCCUUGCCACUGAAGAUCCUAGAAGGUCUGAUGGAGAGGGGAUACAUUAUGUCGAUGCCAAUGUUGAAUAUUGUUAUGUGAUCUAAACAAAAGUAGGGGCUCACCGCAUCUUGAUGGGUGCUGGGAUGGCUUGUUGUGACUCAACUGAUGAUGGAAGGAGAUUUUAUGUUGAACUAAAAACAAGUCGUGAGGUUGACAAAGUCUCAGCUUCUUUGCAUCUUACUUCCAUCCCAUUACUUCUGGUUUCUUGUUAUAGUCAUGAUAUAGGCUCUUAACAACAUGUCAUCUUCAAUGAUGCAUACAGCGACAACAACAAGCCUUAUCCCACUAGGUGGGGUCAGCUAUAUGGAUUAUAUGAUGCUAUUGUGCUAUCUUCAACGAUGCAUACUGAGGAAAAAAUGAGGGAAAAACUGCUCAAGUUUUGGAUUCAGUCAUGUUCGGAAGGAGUUCCAUAUAUUGUCAUAGGAUUUAGGGAGGAGUCUGCUUGGCGUUUGCAGACGAAGUUUUAUGCUGGCUUUAUGGAAUAGUCAAGGAGAGUGAGUAUUAUUGAACCAUUCAGUCUUUUUCAGCGAGCUGAUAAAAAAGGAACAUGAAGAAAUCUUGCAAAUUGAAACUUAAGUCCCAAAUCUAUUCGUUUGGUGUGUAUAAGUUAGUAAUUGACAAGCACAUGCCUAGUUUUCAGAUGAAGAUUGCAUAUUGCAGCUUGCUCAACCUUUCACCCGUUUGGAGCUUUUACAGGCCCAGUCUUGUCUAGAUGCAAUUACUAGUCAGUCAUCUUGAGCUGCUGUGAAGAAUUAGAGACCUUUACAGCUGUUUAUACAAUUCAAUCUGACAAGUAACAGGAAUCUUCCCCUUAGCUUGAAUCGGUUCAUGGUUGUUUUGAUACUUGAUGGAAAUCCUUGAACAGGAGUGAGCUGAUUUUGUUAAUGAAGAGGAAAUUACACUGGGUUAUAAUCUUAUACUACUUUUGGGUUGAAUGAUUUGUGAUGGAAAAUGUCUGUGAAUUACUAUUAACCAUUUUGAUUCAUAGUUGGGCGGCGGGCGCCCCUCUGGGAAAUUUCCUGAUGUGUCUGUAAUUCUUGUGACUUUUGGCCGACAGAAUAUAGACCUAAUGAUGAAAAUAUUAGGCAGAAUGCAAAGAAAUUGUGCUCCUGACAUUCAA